rnacentral:rRNA from 1 species
UACAGAGGGUGCAAGCGUUGUUCGGAUUUACUGGGCGUAAAGGGCGCGUAGGCGGUCGUGACAAGUCACUUGUGAAAUCUCCGGGCUUAACUCGGAAAGGUCAAGUGAUACUGUCGGACUAGAGUACAGAAGGGGCAACUGGAAUUCUCGGUGUAGCGGUGAAAUGCGUAGAUAUCGAGAGGAACACCUGCGGCGAAGGCGGGUUGCUGGGCUGAUACUGACGCUGAGGCGCGAAAGCUAGGGGAGCGAACGGG